rnacentral:rRNA from 1 species
GAUGAACGCUAGCUACAGGCUUAACACAUGCAAGUCGAGGGGCAGCAUGAACUUAGCUUGCUAAGUUUGAUGGCGACCGGCGCACGGGUGAGUAACACGUAUCCAACCUUCCGUUUACUCAGGGAUAGCCUUUCGAAAGAAAGAUUAAUACCUGAUAGUAUGGUGAGAUUGCAUGAUAGCACCAUUAAAGAUUUAUUGGUAAACGAUGGGGAUGCGUUCCAUUAGGUAGUAGGCGGGGUAACGGCCCACCUAGCCGACGAUGGAUAGGGGUUCUGAGAGGAAGGUCCCCCACAUUGGAACUGAGACACGGUCCAAACUCCUACGGGAGGCAGCAGUGAGGAAUAUUGGUCAAUGGGCGAGAGCCUGAACCAGCCAAGUAGCGUGAAGGAUGAAGGUCCUACGGAUUGUAAACUUCUUUAUACGGGAAUAAAGUAUCCUACGUGUAGGAUUUUGUAUGUACCGUAUGAAUAAGCAUCGGCUAACUCCGUG